rnacentral:rRNA from 1 species
GACGAACGCUGGCGGCGUGCUUAACACAUGCAAGUCGAACGGAAAGGCCUCUUUCGGGGGGUACUCGAGUGGCGAACGGGUGAGUAACACGUGAGUAACCUGCCCUUGACUUUGGGAUAACUUCAGGAAACUGGGGCUAAUACCGGAUAGGAGCUCCUGCUGCAUGGUGGGGUUGGAAAGUUUCGGCGGUUGGGGAUGGACUCGCGGCUUAUCAGCUUGUUGGUGGGGUAGUGGCUUACCAAGGCUUUGACGGGUAGCCGGACUGAGAGGGUGACCGGCCACAUUGGGACUGAGAUACGGCACAGACUCCGACGGGAGGCAACAGGGGGGAAGAUUGCACAAUGGGUGGAAGCCUGAUGCAGCAACGCCGUGUGCGGGAUGACGGCCUUCGGGUUGUAAACCGCUUUCGCUCAUGACGAAGCUUUGUGUGACGGUAGUGGGUAAAGAAGCACCGGCUAACUACGUG